UAUUAUGAUACUUCAACUCAUUUUGACCUCUAAUUGUGUAUCGUAUUUUUGUAUUGUUAGAUAAUUAUAUAUAAUUUACUGUACACAUUGUCGAAAAUGCAAAAUCUAUAUAAUCCUUGGUACUGAUGACAGUGCACAAAGAUCCCUUACAAAAACUUUCUGACACUAUUCCAAAUAAUCAAUCUGCCAACUUAGUCACGAAGCCGUAUUAACCUUUAUAUAAACCUGAAUGGAAGAGAAAAUGGCAAAAGAAAAACUCAAGAAUUAUCUUCUACGUUCUUAAUAAGAUUUUUUUGACGAUUGGCCUAGUAACCAAUAAUCAUUGUUUCGCCAUGAAUAUCGGGUUCAUUUUAUGGCGUUUCGCUCGGGGCCGAAUUUAUGAGGGAUAUAGUGGGGCACGUGAACAAUAUCGAGGGAUAUAAUAUUCUCAGUUAUCUCCCUCUUUGAGUACUCAAAUUCUUUUGUACUGUUUCGAGGGCUGCUGUUUUGAAAGCCAUAUGUGCUGGAUUUAAGAGAAAAGGAUGGACUUAUGCUCUUUUACCUUGUUCCUAAAUUGUACAAAAAGGCACUCAUCAAAGGUUGGAGUUGGACGGGUCCUUAUAUUUUCUAUCCUAUAUAGCCAACCGUUGAAAACGUAUGAUUUUCAGUUCCUCUUGGGACCCUUUUUCACAUUAUGGAUCAUGAAGAAGCAGGCAGGAGCACAAAGAGUCAGAUUUGUAGAAAACUACAAUGAGAUUUCUAAUGCUCCUUUGCCAAUUGUUGAGUCCAUAAAUUGGUUUCCCUUUUUGGAUAACGUUAUUUCCCUUUUGAUUUCCCUUUAUGUAUAUAGAGUUCUGCCAUGUAAAUGGAGGAUUCAUCUGUGCUAAAGAAUACAUAGAACAACAUAUCCUUGAAAAAAGGAACACAUGAUUUUUUACGUUGUCUAGUACUAUUUAUAUCUUGUACGUAGUAAUUGGUAAUACCAUUUAAUAAUGGUUGAAUACAUAUGUGGUCCCUUAAACUUUCCUGGUUUUCCAUUUAGGCACUUAAACUAAGCUUUGUUUUUAUUAAAUGCCUAAACUUGGUCAUUCCCCUACUACAUGCUUCCUCUUCUACUUUAACUCUGACCCCUCUAAUCCCUUUUCACUCGAUCAUACAAUCACAAAGUUGUUAGCAGGAAGCACUUCAUUAGGAGAAUAAGCAACAUAUACCCCUCCAUAACGCAUGAAGACUUGAAUUUUCUAAGGAUGGUGAAACCUACAUAGGAAAUAAACUAAGAAAUGGCCAUGUGGCGAACUAAGUGAUGUAGUCUUAAAACUGAAAAUUAAACGAGUCAACAAUGCAGCACUCGGCGAUUAUCUAAUUCAGGUAAAAUCCAAGCAAACUCCUUGAUACUUCAUUGCCUCACCAAAAAAGCCACCUCAUCUAGAAGUCGCAUCCAAUGGUUUCUGUUCAUAACUUCUGCUUGCCAGGGAAAUCUGGGCAGUUAAAA